CCUACGGGUGGCAGCAGUGGGGAAUAUUGCACAAUGGGGGAAACCCUGAUGCAGCGACGCCGCGUGAAGGAAGAAGUAUUUCGGUAUGUAAACUUCUAUCAGCAGGGAAGAAAAUGACGGUACCUGACUAAGAAGCCCCGGCUAACUACGUGCCAGCAGCCGCGGUAAUACGUAGGGGGCAAGCGUUAUCCGGAUUUACUGGGUGUAAAGGGAGCGUAGGCGGUUUAGCAAGUCAGAAGUGAAAGCCCGGGGCUCAACGCCGGGACUGCUUUUGAAACUGUUGAACUAGAGUGCAGGAGAGGUAAGUGGAAUGCCUAGUGUAGCGGUGAAAUGCGUAGAUAUUAGGAGGAACACCAGUGGCGAAGGCGGCUUACUGGACUGUAAAUGACGCUGAGGCUCGAAAGCGUGGGGAGCAAACAGGAUUAGAUACCCGGGUAGUC
rnacentral:rRNA from 1 species